rnacentral:rRNA from 1 species
UACGUAGGGUGCAAGCGUUGUCCGGAAUUAUUGGGCGUAAAGAGCUCGUAGGCGGCCUGUCGCGUCUGCUGUGAAAACUCAGGGCUUAACCCUGAGCCUGCAGUGGGUACGGGCAGACUAGAGUGAUGUAGGGGAGACUGGAAUUCCUGGUGUAGCGGUGAAAUGCGCAGAUAUCAGGAGGAACACCGAUGGCGAAGGCAGGUCUCUGGGCAGUAACUGACGCUGAGGAGCGAAGAGCGUGGGGAGCGAACAGG